rnacentral:tRNA from 1 species
AAAAGGAAUGGGCAUAAAGUAGGGCUGCUAACUUUGCUUUGGGUGGUUCGACUCCAUCCUCUUUUUU